rnacentral:lncRNA from 1 species
CAGAGAAUAGAACCUGGAUAUUCGACUCCUGCAGGCCUUUGCAAAUUCCAACAGGGGAUGCUCUGCACUGCUUGCUUGUACGCCUCACGCUCGUCUCUAACUGGGUUGUAGUUGAGAGCAUCGAGCAUUUGCUGUCACUUCUUUAACGAUAGACGCCUUAAAGGUCGCCAGAUAGUUAGCUGAUGUGGUUGUAUCUCGCCAGAACCGGCUGGGAUGUCCUAGCCGAAACUCCACAUGUACAAUGUGACACUCUAUGGCGUGUUUAUGGGCCCCGCUGAAAAAAUCCUAGUCUUGCCAUCUGCGCGCGCACACAACAGAAAACUAAAAACAAAAAAUAAAAAGCAAAAAAAAACGUGGAGGGGACCAAAAAGAUAGAGCAAGGAAGAGGAGAUAAAGUAAAGGAAGUAGGGAUAAGGAACAAUGGCAAUCGCCAGAUCUGUCAGGCAGUCGGCGAUGGGGUAGCAGCUGGGGAAAAAAAGAAAAGAAAACAGAAGAUAGAGUAGGGGAAUGAGAUAAGGGGGAUGAGAGAGGGGGGAGAGGAAGGAUAUGGGUAAAGAGGGCAAGAACUUACCUGGUGGUAGUGGUCGUCGC